ACCUUUCACUUCGGGAAGGGUCUGCUCGUGUGGCUUGUAAUAAGUAGCUUUCUUACCGGGUCUGUGCUGUGGGACACUUCUUCAAGCAAUCAGGGCAGUGGCCAGAGGCUCUGGGGUAUACAGAUGCCCCAGCAGAAAGGGGCGCCUGGUUAGCAGCAGAGAAGAUGAUGGUGAGAGUGAUGGUAGAGAUGGCGGACCAGAGCAUCCUGCGCCUAGAACUGCAUCAUGGGAAGGAAGGAGUUGGGCAGGUGCACCUGGUGGCCCCGCCUGCAGGGGAAGUUGAUGGGAGCUGAGGGGAGACAGCAGAUACAGAAAAACCCACCCUAAAAUGCAUAUGGAAUCUCCAGGCACAUGGAGCAGACAAAAUGAUCUUGCAUCUUAGCAUUUCCUAGGAGAAGUGGCAUCUGGUGCAUGGGACCAUGGUCUUUUAGGAUGUCAACAUGGGUGGAGGAGAAUGCAUCCCACUGGCUCCAGACUUCCUGUUUUGCAGAUGUAAACCCAACACUUAUGCUUCCUCGGUGCCAUGACCCUGACCGUGUUACACAGAGACGGAGUAUGAUCUACUAUUCCCAGCACUGUGUAGGGUGCUGAUGGCCUGCAACCACAGCUAUUCUGCUAGCUCUUGCUUGGCUUCAGGUGUCCUGCACGUGGAAGAUAGGAGGAAGAGCUUUUAGACUGGCCACCCAGGGCUGGAGGUCAACUAUACAAUUCCCACCUGGAAGUUUAGGGGGGAAGACCCUCCCUCAGAGGAGCCAGGGACAGGAGCAAGAAUUCCCCAUCCGUGCCAAGUGGAGUGAGGGAGAGGCUCGGGGUGGCUGGUGGCUGCCAAGGACUUUGGGUGUCCCACCUGUGACUCAGGAAGCCCUGACGAGAAUGGCAAACAAAGCACACAGCAAAACUGGGAGAACCACUCAGGCAGCACAGGUAGAACCAUGCUUUGUACUAAACACCCUGCACCUCUAGACAAUGGCGUGCAGGCAGAACUACCUGGGGAGGCGCCCCUGCUUCAAGGAAGAAGGCAAAGACACCCCCCACACACACCCCAGGGAAGAGGAGAGACCCUUCAGCCAGCUGCCUGUCUUCUUUCUCCUCCAGCUGGGGCCCUGACACAGCAGUGGCGGGAAGUGCCCAGCAGUCAUCUGUAGCAACAAGGCAACCAUUCUGAACACAGAAGCAGAGCCAGAUGGAAAGAACAGAGUCCCUGAUGGCCUUCCCUGCUUAGCCCCAGACAUACUUUUGUGAAACAAAUAAAAAUCUAUUUGUUGAAGUCAACGCCAGACCCCAGUUACCUGCACCUAAACUGACAUACAAACCAAUGAUCAUUGUGAUGGGUAAAUUAUAGACUUUGCACAACUCAAGUGGAGUAAGGUGGAGUGAUGGACUGGAUGACCAUGUCAGGUAGUCAGAAUGAUGCUCUCCUGAAGAGGAAAAGUGAAAACUCUCUAAUCUGGAACAUGCGGUUAUAUCUCCCAACUUGGUGCAUGAAAGAGACCCGUGGAAAAUUAUGAAUCUAGUUCCCCAAAUCACAACUCUACCAGUACAAGGAGGAAGAGCCGUAGCUGGCUGUUCAGAGUGACAAAGAAGUGAAGGUCGUUAGUGAUGAGCCCAAUGACUCAGCAGUGUGGGGGCGCUUCCAGAAAAUUCCUUUCACUCCUGGGCCACAGUCAUAAAGUGCAGGGAUCAGCACAAGGGCUCAGCAGGACUUUUUGUUCUGGCUGGCCAAGCUGCAGUGGCACGCUGUGCUGUGCCAGGAGCUUCCUAAUUGAGGAGAUGUAGACAGUGGUGCUCAUCCUAGGUGAACCCAGCCUCCCUUGCCAUGUUCAGAACAUUCACGUUCAUCUAUAGUGGGGGAAAAUCAUCCAGCACAAAGCCUAUUUUAUAAUAGUUCAAUGUCUCCUGCAAUGUAUUAAAUACUGCACCAAAAGUUAAAAACAGAAUGGCUGUAUAGAUAUGUUUUGUACCAUCCUAAAGUUGAAAAAAGACUUUAAGGUCCACCACGAUAAGCCAGCAACCACAGGAUGAUUGGACCCAAUGGUGCAUCACACUUGAGUGCAGGCGACAUGUUCCCGUGAGAAAGCCAAGUGUGCCUAGAGCUUAGAGGAAAAUGAGUGCUGGACUGGGUGAUAGGGAAGCAAGAAUUUCAAAGUGAUCUGAGCUUGGGGAAAGACUCAUUUUCCUCUUAUUGGGGGAGUGGCGGGGGGGAAUGUCCAACCUGCAGGCUGGCCCACAAGGUCAUUUGGUCUGACCCUGUCCAGGCAAUCACAGGUAGGACUUGAAAUUUAGUAGAUCGACGGCAGGCUCAUCGUUAGGUUGAUAAUUCCGUAUGACCUGCAAAUAAUGUUGUAAAUACCCGAAUGGCCUUUCCUAGGAGGAAAGAAAGGUGGAAGAGCUGCCACUAAGACUGGAAGAACAAAUGCCAAUGGGAGGGGAGUCUGGCAGGUGGGCCGAACACCCAACCUACCUGUGGCCGAGCUUACUCCAUCACCAAGGAACAUCAGUGUGAACAGGGAGACCAAGGGUAAACUCAAGGGCUCUGAGCCCCAGCCGAGGGUGAAAACUGUGUGAACACAGUAAAGGGAUGUGCAGUACUCACGGUUAUCAGAAGACUUCCUCAGAGAAGGAAUUAAACUCCCCAAACCCCAAGACCAACAUGCCCCGGCAUACCUCCAUGGCCCAAGUGGAUGUGCUGUGACCCCUAAGUAUUUUUUGAAGGUCACAGCAGGGAGUGUGGCUGGAAGGGAUGUCGCCUAGGUUUAAAAGCAUUUUAAUGGUGUAAAGGAUUUUUACAUGAAUAAUAAUGUGAAUCAUUUUACCAACUCUAGGCUUCACUUUUUUGCAGUAUGCAAAAAAUAGUGAGAUGCAACAAAUUUGUAACUGUCCAACCACUGCCACCAAAUCCAUUUUUAGAACAUUUCUAUCACCCCAGAAAGAACUCUAGUGCCUAUUUGUCUUCCUCUCCACUUCUACUUCCAGGCUCGGGCAACAUCAUCUGUCUCAGUAGACUUAGAUUUGCCGUGUCUGGACAUUCAUAUAAAUGGAAUCACACAAUUUAUGAUCUUUUGUGUCUGUCUUCUUUGACUCAGUACAAUGGUUUUGAGGUUUAUGCAUGUUGUAGCUUGUGUCAACAGUUUCCUGAUUUAUUUUGUUGCUGGGGAGUAGACCAUUCCAUGGACACACCACGGCUCACUGCACGUCCCCCUCACCAGUUCAUACACAUUUGCACUGUUUCCAGCUUGGGGCUCUUAUGAAUACGGAUGUUAUAAGCAUUUGCGGAAAGCCUUCUGUGGGCACACUUACUUUUUUUUAAAGUUUGUUAUUUAUUUGAAAGGCAUAGUUACAAAGAGAGAGGGAGAGACAGAGAGAAAGAGACCUUCCAUCUUCUGGUCCAUUCCCCAAAUAGUCACAUUGGUCAGGGCGGGGCCAGGCGGAAGCUAGAAGCCAGAAGCUUUAUCCAGGUCUCCCAUGUGGGUGGCAGGGUUCUAAGUACUUGGGCUGUCUUCUGCUGCUUUCCUAGGCACAUCAGUAGGGAGCUGGGUGGGAAGCUGAGCCAUGAGAGCUUGAACCAGCACUCUGACACAGGGUACUGGCAUUGCAGGCAGUGGCUUAACCCACGGUGCCACAAUGCUAGCUGCUGGACAUGUGCGUGUGUGUCUUGGGCAGAGGUUUAAGGAUGUGCAAUCUGGGUUUUGAUGAUUGAGAAACAUCUUGGGGGUGAAGUGGUUGAGAGAGGAUCUAAUGGGGGGAUAUGAGCCCUGACUGAGGCUGAGUACCCUCCAGGGUGGAGAUUCGAGGAGGUGGCAUGGGCAAAGCAGCCAGGAUACCUCUUAAAAAAUGAGCAUGAGUAACCCGGGCAAGGACAAGUAUCUGGUGGCCUUGGGAACUAGGAGUGGGA